GGCUGGAUAGCUCAGUUGCUACUGAGAGCACUGCACCGGUAUCGCGGAGGUCAUGGGUUGAAUCUCGUUCAAGCCU